rnacentral:lncRNA from 9 species
AUGCUUGUCAUGCUUUUCUUAGGCUGCUCUCUGCCCAUGCUUGUUCCUUAUUCAACUGUGAAAUUGGAAUUGCAAGAGGAAUGUUGCAUUUUCAUUGCCAAGACUCUUCUCAUGAUGGACACAAGGAAAGGGGGACUGCUUUUGGAGCUGGAGAAGAACAUGGCAGGUGACAAGGACUCUUGGCAUGUAACAGGAUCUGCAAAUUCAGGCAUGGCCAGGAAAGAGUGAGAGGAAGAGCAAGAAUAAGUCAGAGAUGGAAAUGAGACCGAGAUAGAGAGGUGUGACUCAAUGUGAGCACAAAGUAACACGGGUUCACUUACCCAGCCCAUUGUAUUAACUCAUCUACUAGUCAGAGCCAAAACGAGGGGGAAAAAAUGACAGGACAGGCUCAGCUCUGUAUGCUUACUGCACAGCAGGAAGAUAUAAAGCAGGCUUGGGUGUUCCCGUCCUGGCUCAGCGGGAACAAAUCUGACUAGUAUCCAUGAGGAUGGAGGUUCUAUAUCUGGCCUCACUCAGUGGGUUAAGGAUCCGGCUUUGCCAUGAGCUAUGGUGUAGGUCGUAGAUGUGGCUUGGAUCUGGCAUUGCUAUGGCUGUGGCGUAGGCCAGCAGCUACAGCUCCAAUUCAACCCCUAGACUGGGAACCUCCAUAUGCCACAGAGAAGGGGACCUAGAAAAACUCCUUCACAGAGCUCUCCCUCACCCAUUCCCAGGGGACAUGGGUCUUCCUUUCUAUGCAAUCAUCCAGCCUUUUUAGAUACCCCCUUACAGUAUUGGUACAUUUUUGCCUUGAAAUUUCUAUUCAUGUUUUAUCUCCCUCUACCAGCAGCUUUCCAAGGAUGAGAUCUAUGUCCAGUCCAUCCCUCUAUAUUCUCCAGGUUCCAGCCUUUUGCCUUGCAUAUAAUAUAACAAAUAUUUGAGGAAAUAAUAAAGACCAGGUUAUAAUAAGAAGCGCCAUCCCAGAGUUAUCUCAAUAACUAAAUUUUAAGGUGUGAUUAUGAAGCACCUGGAGGAAAGCGACCUAUUUAAGGAUGGUAGUAUGUUUGCACAGAUUAAAAACAGGGUUUCAAGCUUGAUUACUUCUAAAGGUGAGCAGCUAAUGUAAAUAGGGUAAGCGUAGCAAAUGUAGGAAAAUGGAUGGACUGUGUAUUUUUGACCCAGUAAAGAAGAGAGAGCUGUUCUCAGAUGUAGCCAAUUACUGUCAUGAAGGAUGUGAGCUCAGCGUUGCCAAAUGCCUCAAUUUUUUCAAGAAAACCUGAAAACCCAGACAUUAUGUGAAAUGUCUAAUCUUUCAGCCACUUUCAGGGCAACCAAACAGUAUCUAUGAAUUGAAUAUAGUCCUAGGGGGCGGGCAGGGGCUACAAUCCUGAGAUUCCUGGGAAGGACCUCUUAGGUUUUACACACCUUUGGUUUUCUGAAUUGUGUGUAUCUGUCCACAGUAGUUGUAUUUCAUGAGAAAAUGGACUGUAUUUACUUGGAGGGUCUUUUUUUUUUUUUUUUUUUUUUUUUGUCUUUUUGCCUUUUCUAGGGCCGCUCCAUGGCAUAUGGCGUUCCCAUGCUAGGGUUCGAAUCAGAGCUGUAGCUACCGG